UUACAGAAUAAGCGGACCCAGUAGCAAUAAGAAGUGCAGUUGGCGAUUGUCACAAUUUAUACCCUUAUCUGGAUAAACUUGUUUAUCCAUAAUAUGAAUAAUUUAAUUCGACUGAAUGAACAGUCACAGACUUGUGAUGUUCUAUUUUAAGCAUACUGUGGUCUUGUUGAGAAAAUCAUGCAAAUAUGUUAAUGUGGAGAUUUGCUCACCAGGUCAGAAAGACAUCACUUCUUUACCCCCCGGAACGAUUGGAUGGACUACUUUCCCGUUUGGUCGAUAUUGGAGAUUUUAGGCCAUGUUCUUGUAAGUUGUGAAACUCGAAGACCACGAAUAUAUCAUGAAUAAUUAAA